CAGCUUGCUGCUUCGCUGACGAGUGGCGGACGGGUGAGUAAUGUCUGGGAAACUGCCUGAUGGAGGGGGAUAACUACUGGAAACGGUAGCUAAUACCGCAUAACGUCGCAAGACCAAAGAGGGGGACCUUCGGGCCUCUUGCCAUCAGAUGUGCCCAGAUGGGAUUAGCUAGUAGGUGGGGUAACGGCUCACCUAGGCGACGAUCCCUAGCUGGUCUGAGAGGAUGACCAGCCACACUGGAACUGAGACACGGUCCAGACUCCUACGGGAGGCAGCAGUGGGGAAUAUUGCACAAUGGGCGCAAGCCUGAUGCAGCCAUGCCGCGUGUAUGAAGAAGGCCUUCGGGUUGUAAAGUACUUUCAGCGGGGAGGAAGGCGAUGCGGUUAAUAACCGCGUCGAUUGACGUUACCCGCAGAAGAAGCACCGGCUAACUCCGUGCCAGCAGCCGCGGUAAUACGGAGGGUGCAAGCGUUAAUCGGAAUUACUGGGCGUAAAGCGCACGCAGGCGGUCUGUCAAGUCGGAUGUGAAAUCCCCGGGCUCAACCUGGGAACUGCAUCCGAAACUGGCAGGCUUGAGUCUCGUAGAGGGGGGUAGAAUUCCAGGUGUAGCGGUGAAAUGCGUAGAGAUCUGGAGGAAUACCGGUGGCGAAGGCGGCCCCCUGGACGAAGACUGACGCUCAGGUGCGAAAGCGUGGGGAGCAAACAGGAUUAGAUACCCUGGUAGUCCACGCCGUAAACGAUGUCGACUUGGAGGUUGUGCCCUUGAGGCGUGGCUUCCGGAGCUAACGCGUUAAGUCGACCGCCUGGGGAGUACGGCCGCAAGGUUAAAACUCAAAUGAAUUGACGGGGGCCCGCACAAGCGGUGGAGCAUGUGGUUUAAUUCGAUGCAACGCGAAGAACCUUACCUGGUCUUGACAUCCACAGAACUUUCCAGAGAUGGAUUGGUGCCUUCGGGAACUGUGAGACAGGUGCUGCAUGGCUGUCGUCAGCUCGUGUUGUGAAAUGUUGGGUUAAGUCCCGCAACGAGCGCAACCCUUAUCCUUUGUUGCCAGCGGUUAGGCCGGGAACUCAAAGGAGACUGCCAGUG
rnacentral:rRNA from 1 species